rnacentral:rRNA from 1 species
UACGGAGGAUGCAAGCGUUAUCCGGAAUCAUUGGGCGUAAAGCGUCCGCAGGUGGCUGUUCAAGUCUGCUGUUAAAGACAGAAGCUCAACUUCUGAACAGCAGUGGAAACUGGACGGCUAGAGUACGGUAGGGGUUGAGGGAAUUCCCAGUGUAGCGGUGAAAUGCGUAGAUAUUGGGAAGAACACCAGUGGCGAAGGCGCUCAACUGGGCCGUAACUGACACUCAGGGACGAAAG